GACGUAGGGUGCAAGCGUUGUCCGGAUUCAUUGGGCGUAAAGAGCGUGUAGGCGGCCAGGUAGGUCGGUUGUGAAAACUGGAGGCUCAACCUUCAGAGGUCGACCGAAACCAUCUGGCUAGAGUCCGGGAGAGGAGAGUGGAAUUCCUGGUGUAGCGGUGAAAUGCGCAGAUAUCAGGAAGAACACCCGUGGCGAAAGCGGCUCUCUGGAACGGUACUGACGCUGAGACGCGAAAGCGUGGGGAGCGAACAGG
rnacentral:rRNA from 1 species